rnacentral:rRNA from 1 species
AUCAAUAAGCGGAGGAAAAGAAACCAACAGGGAUUGCCUCAGUAACGGCGAGUGAAGCGCAACAGCUCAAAUUUGNAAUCUGGUCCCAGCGGCCCGAGUUGUAAUUUGCAGAGGAAGCUUUGGGCGAGGCGCCUUCCGAGUUCCCUGGAACGGGACGCCGUAGAGGGUGAGAGCCCCGUACGGUCGGUCGCCGAGCCUCUGUAAAGCUCCUUCGACGAGUCGAGUAGUUUGGGAAUGCUGCUCUAAAUGGGAGGUAAACCCCUUCUAAAGCUAAAUACCGGCCAGAGACCGAUAGCGCACAAGUAGAGUGAUCGAAAGAUGAAAAGCACUUUGAAAAGAGAGUUAAACAGCACGUGAAAUUGUUGAAAGGGAAGCGCUUGUGGCCAGACUUGCGCCUGGCAGCUCAGCCGUCCUUCCAGGGCGGUGCAUUCUGCCGGCUCAGGCCAGCAUCAGUUCGCAGCGGGGGAGAAAUACGGCGGGAACGUGGCUCCUCGGAGUGUUAUAGCCCGCCGUCAUGCCCUGCCGUGGACUGAGGUUCGCGCUUCCGCAAGGAUGCUGGCGUAAUGGCCACCAGC